rnacentral:rRNA from 1 species
GAUGAACGCUGGCGGCGUGCCUAAUACAUGCAAGUCGAGCGAACAGACGAGGAGCUUGCUCCUCUGACGUUAGCGGCGGACGGGUGAGUAACACGUGGAUAACCUACCUAUAAGACUGGGAUAACUUCGGGAAACCGGAGCUAAUACCGGAUAAUAUAUUGAACCGCAUGGUUCAAUAGUGAAAGACGGUUUUGCUGUCACUUAUAGAUGGAUCCGCGCCGCAUUAGCUAGUUGGUAAGGUAAAGGCUUACCAAGGCAACGAUGCGUAGCCGACCUGGGAGGGUGAAUGGCCAAAAUGGAACUUGGACACGGUCCCGACUCCUACGGGAGGGAGCAGUAGGGAAUCUUCCGCAAUGGGCGAAAGCCUGACGGAGCAACGCCGCGUGAGUGAUGAAGGUCUUCGGAUCGUAAAACUCUGUUAUUAGGGAAGAACAAAUGUGUAAGUAACUAUGCACGUCUUGACGGUACCUAAUCAGAAAGCCACGGCUAACUACGUG